UAUAUAGACCAAUUGCGAAACUUAGUGACCGCGCCUUAAACUGCACGAAAACGAGGCUUGUUAUGCAAAAACAAAUCAUUCUGCUAUAUUUUUAUAUGGGGAAAAAUGAAUUUCAGUGUUUGAGACGCGUUUUUAUGGUAAUCUCUUCAUUUUUUUUCAAUAUUUCUGUUUUGCCUAUGUAAAUCUUUAUUAAACUUGUUCAUA